CGCUCGCCGAAGGGUGCCAGGCUGUGGGUCGGAACUGCGCUCAGCGAGCAGCUGGGCGCUGGAGAAAGGAUUUCUUCCGACAGACGUGACCCCAGAAGGCUGCCGAGGGAGACUUUAGGACAAGAGGCGUUGUUUUUUUAGGGAAGGAAGAGGAGCCUGUGCAGAGUUGAACUGGGGUGGAGAGGUGCCUUGUAAAGUAUGGUUUCCAGAGAUGGUGAGACCUCGUAGCUAAGCGUUGUUUCCUCUGCACGUAACUGUGAGUUGUGAACUUGUGGCUCCUGGGGGAGCGGGACAGGGCCUGGCAGUGCGGGGGAGGGGGCAAGGAAUUCAGGAAGUUGGCGAGAAUUCUUCGUUUUUCAUUCUUCGUUGUAAAUUGCUUCUAAACACUUCUGAAUUUUAAAUUGCUACCGAGAAGGUCCAGAAACCGUUCUCAUCCAAUUUAGUCACUUUUAUUACGUUCCACUUUGCCUCCCCCAAUCACUGCGGCGGCUCCCAGUUUCAGCGUGGCCGCAUUUGGAAAAGGCUGAAGGUAGAAAACUCUGGAAUGGAGAGGCUGGCGACUGGAGCAGGAUCCAGGGGCUUUAAAUUUUAACCUGAAUGCGAUCGAAUGCGCGACUCCCAGAAGAGAUAGCCAGGCGUCCGCCCGGCCGCUCAACCCCCGCCAGGACUCGGAAUGCCUUGCUUUUGGUUCUUUUCGUGAGUUCCGACCAAAUGUUUAAGUGGACUGGGUUUUGCAGAAGCUCAUUUGUAAGCACUGACGGAAAUGGGUUGUGGGCAUUUGAUUUCCUUUGAUUCCAACGUUUUGAAAUAAUGUUUCUCGGAUUUGCUAUUCGAAGCAAUUUUCUAAAAACUCAUAUCUUAUUUGCUAAAAAUAAACUCUUUGGCUCAGUUUGUGUCCAGGCUGUGUACGGCCUCCAACCCUGAGCCCCGAGGAGAUCGAGCCCUGGCGCGAGCCUGAUCUCUGUCCUGUGUGUUUCUUUGUAUUUGCAAGUACAAGGAUGUCUGCGUGGAUAUCCCUGGACACUCGAUACCCCCCGGGGACCUGCUUUUCCCGCAGCUCCGCAGACGCGGCGGGAGGGCGCGCUGGCCCCGGCGCUGCUGGGACAGAGGUGAGCAGCGGGGUGGACAUUGACCGAUUCGACAACGUUCGGGCUCUAAGGGCUCGGGAAGGGACCCGGCAUUUUACCCUCCAGAUUCCCAAUCUAUUUUUAAAAAUAAUGUUCAAAACAUAUGGGAAAAAUAAGUGAUUGCUCCUUUUCAUGGUCACAGAUUGUAUUUAUUUUUUCAGACUGGUUUUCCAACCUAACGAGGGAAUGGGUAGUGAAUGUUGUUGUUGUUGUUGUUGUUUAUGUUGGUUAAUUUCGAAAUAAAACUGUUUAACUCGUACAGUUGAUUCAGACAGAAAACCAGGCUGCCUGACGUCUCCAAUGUGCCUUUUCCCCAAUGCAUCUUUGGCGCUAGGGACCGCUCUGGGGAAGACAAGCAUGUUUUCAAAGCCACUCCCAU
rnacentral:lncRNA from 10 species